rnacentral:rRNA from 1 species
UACGUAGGGUGCAAGCGUUAAUCGGAAUUACUGGGCGUAAAGCGUGCGCAGGCGGUUUUGUAAGUCUGUCGUGAAAUCCCCGGGCUCAACCUGGGAAUUGCGAUGGAGACUGCAAGGCUAGAAUCUGGCAGAGGGGGGGUAGAAUUCCACGUGUAGCAGUGAAAUGCGUAGAGAUGUGGAGGAACACCGAUGGCGAAGGCAGCCCCCUGGGUCAAGAUUGACGCUCAUGCACGAAAGCGUGGGGAGCAAACAAGGG